rnacentral:rRNA from 1 species
CGUUUACUUAAUUUCUUCUUAUAUUGGAGGUAGGCCCUGUUCUAUGGUUUUAAAUGACUGCAGUAUUUUGACUGUGCUAAGGUAGCAUAAUAAUUUUUUCUUUAAUUAAGAGGUUGAAUGAAUGGGUUAACAAGAUAUAUGCUUUAUUAAUUUAAUUGUUUGAAUUUGAUUGUUGAGGUUAAAAUUCCUUAGUGUUUUAGAGGGACGACAAGACCCUAAGAAAUUUUAUCACCUGGUUGAGUUUAUUGGUUUGGUGUUUUGGCUGGGGCGGUCUUAUUUAGUGUCAAAUAGUUUAUUGUUACACGGUGUGUGGUUUUGUUGAGCUUUUAUUAGAACUGAAGUUGAAUUACUCUAGGGAUAACAGCGCUAUUGUUUUGAAGAGUUCAAAUCGAUAAAAUAGUUUGCGACCUCGAUGUUGAAUUAAGUGGCUUUUUUGGGUAUAAGAAAAAAGUAGCAGGUCUGUUCGACC